CCUACGGGAGGCAGCAGUGGGGAAUCUUGCACAAUGGAGGAAACUCUGAUGCAGCGAUGCCGCGUGAGUGAAGAAGGCCUUUGGGUUGUAAAGCUCUUUUGUAGGGGAAGAUAAUGACUGUACCCUAAGAAUAAGGUCCGGCUAACUUCGUGCCAGCAGCCGCGGUAAUACGAAGGGACCUAGCGUAGUUCGGAAUUACUGGGCGUAAAGCGCGCGUAGGCCGUUGAGUUAGUUAAUUGUGAAAUCCCAAAGCUUAACUUUGGAACUGCAAUUAAAACUGCUCGACUAGAGUUUGAUAGAGGAAAGCGGAAUACAUAGUGUAGAGGUGAAAUUCGUAGAUAUUAUGUAGAACACCAGUUGCGAAGGCGGCUUUCUGGAUCAACACUGACGCUGAGGCGCGAAAGUAUGGGUAGCAAAGAGGAUUAGAUACCCUCGUAGUCCAUACCAUAAACGAUGAUUGCUAGAUGUUGGAAAUUUAUUUUCAGUAUCGCAGCUACGACAUAAGUACAACUACCGCCGUCGGGGUAGGUACGGACCGGACCGAACGGUUAAAACCGUUAACCGAAACGUAAAGUUAAGUAAGGUACGGUCGUUAGAGUACGUUCGACCGAACGGACGACCGACGGAGGGAGGGAGG
rnacentral:rRNA from 1 species